UACGAAGGGGGCUAGCGUUGUUCGGAAUUACUGGGCGUAAAGCGUGCGUAGGCGGCUGCGCAAGUCGGGUGUGAAACCCCGGGGCUCAACCCCGGAACUGCAUCCGAUACUGCGUGGCUAGAGGUAGGUAGGGGAGAUCGGAAUUCCUGGUGUAGCGGUGAAAUGCGCAGAUAUCAGGAGGAACACCGGUGGCGAAGGCGGGUCUCUGGGCCGAUACUGACGCUGAGGAGCGAAAGCGUGGGGAGCGAACAGG
rnacentral:rRNA from 1 species